AGUGAACGCUGGCGGUAGGCCUAACACAUGCAAGUCGAACGGCAGCACAGUAAGAGCUUGCUCUUACGGGUGGCGAGUGGCGGACGGGUGAGGAAUACAUCGGAAUCUACUUUUUCGUGGGGGAUAACGUAGGGAAACUUACGCUAAUACCGCAUACGACCUACGGGUGAAAGCAGGGGAUCUUCGGACCUUGCGCGAUUGAAUGAGCCGAUGUCGGUUUAGCUAGUUGGCGGGGUAAAGGCCCACCAAGGCGACGAUCCGUAGCCGGUCUGAGAGGAUGAUAAGCCACACUGGAACUGAGACACGGUCCAGACUCCUACGGGAGGCAGCAGUGGGGAAUAUUGGACAAUGGGCGCAAGCCUGAUCCAGCCAUACCGCGUGGGUGAAGAAGGCCUUCGGGUUGUAAAGCCCUUUUGUUGGGAAAGAAAAGCAGCAGGUUAAUACCCCGCUGUUCUGACGGUACCCAAAGAAUAAGCACCGGCUAACUUCGUG
rnacentral:rRNA from 1 species